rnacentral:rRNA from 2 species
GUGGGUAGUUUGACUGGGGCGGUCUCCUCCUAAAGAGUAACGGAGGAGCACGAAGGUUGGCUAAUCCUGGUCGGACAUCAGGAGGUUAGUGCAAUGGCAUAAGCCAGCUUGACUGCGAGCGUGACGGCGCGAGCAGGUGCGAAAGCAGGUCAUAGUGAUCCGGUGGUUCUGAAUGGAAGGGCCAUCGCUCAACGGAUAAAAGGUACUCCGGGGAUAACAGGCUGAUACCGCCCAAGAGUUCAUAUCGACGGCGGUGUUUGGCACCUCGAUGUCGGCUCAUCACAUCCUGGGGCUGAAGUAGGUCCCAAGGGUAUGGCUGUUCGCCAUUUAAAGUGGUACGCGAGCUGGGUUUAGAACGUCGUGAGACAGUUCGGUCCCUAUCUGCCGUGGGCGCUGGA